rnacentral:tRNA from 1 species
GCCUUCGUAGUGUAACUGAAAGCACGUCUGGUUGGCAAUCGGGAGGUCCGGAGCUCGAAUCGCGGCUAAGGCA